rnacentral:rRNA from 1 species
UGAGGAAUCUUGCGCAAUGGGGGAAACCCUGACGCAGCAACGCCGCGUGAGUGAGGAAGGUCUUCGGGUCGUAAAGCUCUGUCAGGCGGGAAGAAAUGGAUGGAGGUGAACAGCCGCCAUGCUUGACGGUACCGCCAGAGGAAGCACCGGCUAACUCCGUGCCAGCAGCCGCGGUGAUACGGGGGGUGCAAGCGUUGUUCGGAAUCAUUGGGCGUAAAGAGCGUGUAGGCGGCUUGGUAAGUCAGAUGUGAAAGCCCUGGGCUCAACCCGGGAAGUGCAUUUGAAACUGCCAGGCUCGAGUAGGGGAGAGGGAAGUGGAAUUCCUGGUGUAGAGGUGAAAUUCGUAGAUAUCAGGAGGAACACCGGUGGCGAAGGCGACUUCCUGGCCCUAUACUGACGCUGAGACGCGGGAGCGUGGGUAGCAAACAG